GGUGAUAUACCUUCAAAAGGUGAAAGACCUCAUGAUGAAUUUAAGAUACUUCGAGAUCUUUCACAUAUCCAGGAUCGAGAAUGCUUGAGCCGAUGCACUUUUCAGAUUGGCAAUGGUUGCUUACAAUUCGCUGGGCCGAACAUUCAUGGAGUGUCUUGAAUAAUCGAGCAUCGACAAAAAUGAAAAAGUGUUGCAGCUAAUAGUCAAACCUAGUUGGAUGGAUCCGAUCAUCCGGUAUCUGUCUGACUGAGUCCUCCCUGAGGAUCCUGCGAAAGCAAAACGAACCC
rnacentral:lncRNA from 1 species